rnacentral:rRNA from 1 species
UACGUAGGGUGCAAUCGUUAAUCGGAAUUACUGGGCGUAAAGCGUGCGCAGGCGGUUUUGUAAGUCUGACGUGAAAUCCCCGGGCUCAACCUGGGAAUUGCGUUGGAGACUGCAAGGCUAGAAUCUGGCAGAGGGGGGUAGAAUUCCACGUGUAGCAGUGAAAUGCGUAGAGAUGUGGAGGAACACCGAUGGCGAAGGCAGCCCCCUGGGUCAAGAUUGACGCUCAUGCACGAAAGCGUGGGGAGCAAACAGG